GCUUGCACCUGGUGGCGAGUGGCGAACGGGUGAGUAAUACAUCGGAACAUGUCCUGUAGUGGGGGAUAGCCCGGCGAAAGCCGGAUUAAUACCGCAUACGAUCCACGGAUGAAAGCGGGGGACCUUCGGGCCUCGCGCUAUAGGGUUGGCCGAUGGCUGAUUAGCUAGUUGGUGGGGUAAAGGCCUACCAAGGCGACGAUCAGUAGCUGGUCUGAGAGGACGACCAGCCACACUGGGACUGAGACACGGCCCAGACUCCUACGGGAGGCAGCAGUGGGGAAUUUUGGACAAUGGGCGAAAGCCUGAUCCAGCAAUGCCGCGUGUGUGAAGAAGGCCUUCGGGUUGUAAAGCACUUUUGUCCGGAAAGAAAUCCUUGGCUCUAAUACAGCCGGGGGAUGACGGUACCGGAAGAAUAAGC
rnacentral:rRNA from 1 species